UCACACUAUCAAGCUUGGCUUGGUGUUGGGCCCUUUGUCACCUGGUGACAGGUCCGAAAGACAAUGACUGGUGUAACAAACUCCAUAUGCAACGAGCUUAUAACAGCAUGCAUUUGGCAGUUGUGUGACCCGGUCUUCACCCUCUCUUUCUCAA
rnacentral:misc_RNA from 1 species